CAGUGCAACAUCUACGGUCCGUGCAGCAAUGCCACCAGCCAAACCUGUGGGUGCAUAAAUGGACUUCCGUCUGAUGGAGCGCUCUGUGAACCAAUCACAAAUGUCACACCGUGUCCAACCCCCACUCCUAACGUUACAUAUGACAUUGAUCUAGUCCUGGAAUUGCGUAUCCCAGUCUCCAGUGUGCCAUCAUAUUUCAUUGAACUAUUCAGGAACACUGUGAGAAGUGUCUUGCUCCCCUACACCAUCAAUCAGUCUUUAAAAGUGAUAGGUUUAAAUUUCACCACAGGGUGCUAUCCAAACUCCACUGGAGGACUGCAGUGUCACUGUGAGA